GAAGUUGAUAUAUGUUUGUUUGACUUCUUUGUGCAUACUUGAAAUUGUUUUGACUUCCUGAUUUUAAUUGACCAUCUUCCCAUGAUCCAAUUGAGCUGAAAUUUUAUAUGCAUGUCAUUAUGUGGAUUUUGAUUGAGCAUGAAUUAUUUGGUGAUUUUUGGAAUUGCUUAUGAUUACUUUUGAGCUUAGUCUUGCUGUUGACCUCUAUAUGCUCUCAUUUGCCAUGUUUUGCAUUCUUUUGUUUGUGAAAUGAUGAUGAUGCAUGAUAUGAACAUGAAACCAAUUGGGUUUGCUUCUUAAAUGUUUGAAUUUGAUCUUGAUUGGAUAUGGCUUGCUGUUUUGACUUUCUCAUUUAUUUUUGACCCUAGGCUUGUCCUAGUGGUCCUUUGGGCUUAUGAUUGAGUUCAUGUUUCAGGUUAAGCUACAAAUGCUUCAAAGAAACUUUUGCAAGUUGAUUGGGUUUAUCUGUUUAUCAUGAGCUAACCUUUG
rnacentral:lncRNA from 1 species